GUCCAGACUCCUACGGGAGGCAGCAGUGGGGAAUAUUGCACAAUGGGGGAAACCCUGAUGCAGCGACGCCGCGUGAGCGAAGAAGUAUCUCGGUAUGUAAAGCUCUCUCAGCAGGGAAGAAAGAAAUGACGGUACCUGAGUAAGAAGCCCCGGCUAACUACGUGCCAGCAGCCGCGGUAAUACGUAGGGGGCAAGCGUUAUCCGGAUUUACUGGGUGUAAAGGGAGCGCAGGCGGCAGGAUGAGUCUGAUGUGAAAACCCGCGGCUCAACCACGGGAUUGCAUUGGAAACUGUCCAGCUAGAGUGUCGGAGAGGUAAGCGGAAUUCCUAGUGUAGCGGUGAAAUGCGUAGAUAUUAGGAGGAACACCAGUGGCGAAGGCGGCUUACUGGACGACGACUGACGCUGAGGCUCGAAAGCGUGGGGAGCAAACAGGAUUAGAUACCCCCGUAUU
rnacentral:rRNA from 1 species